rnacentral:rRNA from 1 species
UGGGGAAUUUUGGACAAUGGGCGCAAGCCUGAUCCAGCAAUGCCGCGUGCAGGAUGAAGGCCUUCGGGUUGUAAACUGCUUUUGUACGGAACGAAAAGGCUCUGGCUAAUACCUGGGGCACAUGACGGUACCGUAAGAAUAAGCACCGGCUAACUACGUGCCAGCAGCCGCGGUAAUACGUAGGGUGCGAGCGUUAAUCGGAAUUACUGGGCGUAAAGCGUGCGCAGGCGGUUUUGUAAGACAGAGGUGAAAUCCCCGGGCUCAACCUGGGAACUGCCUUUGUGACUGUAAGGCUGGAGUGCGGCAGAGGGGGAUGGAAUUCCGCGUGUAGCAGUGAAAUGCGUAGAUAUGCGGAGGAACACCGAUGGCGAAGGCAAUCCCCUGGGCCUGCACUGACGCUCAUGCACGAAAGCGUGGGGAGCAAACAGGAUUAGAUACCCUGGUAGUCCACGCCCUAAACGAUGUCAACUGGUUGUUGGGUCUUAAUUGACUCAGUAACGAAGCUAACGCGUGAAGUUGACCGCCUGGGGGAGUACGGCCGCAAGGUUGAAACUCAAAUGAA